UGGCUCCUAGUGCUUACCCAGGCCAUGAGGAGGCAGAAUAACCCUCCCCUACCCUGUUUUCCCCUCAGCCUAGGCCAUUGUGCCUGGCCUGUAUUGUGAAUAGGGAGACAUGG